rnacentral:rRNA from 1 species
UACAAGUACCGUGAGGGAAAGUUGAAAAGUACUUUGAAGAGAGAGUUAAACAGUACGUGAAACCGGUGGGGUGGAAACGGAUAGAGCCGACGUAUUCGGUCCGUAUUCAGCUGUCGAUGGUGCACGGGUGGUUGGUUGGGCGAAGGUUUUUGGUGGCGGGGCAACUCGUCGCCGGAGGCUGACGUCGGGGCCGACGGAUUGUGCGCUUCGGCGGUGCAUUUACGGGCUAAACUGCGCUGAGGGGUGUGUGCUGAUCGCUUGACGUGUUGGCUAGAGGAAACUCGCCGCAAGGUGUGUGAAACCUGGCCGACGCCGAUGGGCGUAUUCGGUGUGCGCUUUUGUGUAUGGUGUUUGCACGAAGCAUGGGCGUGUUUUGUCGGAAGUGGUUGUUUCGGUUGCUGCGGUAGCGGGCUAUGGCGGUCGCUUGCGACACGUGUGGUUCGUGGCUGUGGUGAUUGGCGCGCUUCCACAUGUUUCACCUCGGCGUAAAAGUUGGUCAUCUAUCCGACCCGUCUUGAAACACGGACCAAGGAGUUUAGCGUAUGCGCGAGUCAUUGGGUGGUAAAAACCUAAAGGCGUAAUGAAAGUGAAGGUGGACUUGAUCCGCUAACAUGCGAUCCGGCGCUACCACGGUGCGCCGGCGCAGCAUGGCCCCGUUCUUGUCGCAUGCGAUGGGGCGGAGGUGGAGCGUAUGCGCUGAGACCCGAAAGAUGGUGAACUAUGCCUGAGCAGGACGAAGCCAGAGGAAACUCUGGUGGAAGUCCGAAGCGGUC